GCCUGGCUAGCUCAGUAGGAAGAGCAUGGGACUCUUGAUUCCAGAGUGGUGAGUUUGGGCCCCAUGUUGGGUG
rnacentral:tRNA from 1 species